GCUAGGUACGGUCGGAAAUCGUACGCGCGUCGUGUAAUGGCACAAGCGAGCUUAACUGCGAGACGGACAGGUCGAGCAGGUGCGAAAGCAGGUCAUAGUGAUCCGGUGGUUCUGUAUGGAAGGGCCAUCGCUCAACGGAUAAAAGGUACGCCGGGGAUAACAGGCUGAUGACCCCCAAGAGUUCACAUCGACGGGGUCGUUUGGCACCUCGAUGUCGGCUCAUCACAUCCUGGGGCUGUAGCCGGUCCCAAGGGUAUGGCUGUUCGCCAUUUAAAGUGGUACGUGAGCUGGGUUCAAAACGUCGUGAGACAGUUUGGUCCCUAUCUACCGUGGGCGCUGGAGGUUUGAGGGGGGCUGCUCCUAGUACGAGAGGACCGGAGUGGACGCACCGCUGGUGUACCGGUUGUGAUGCCAAUCGCAUUGCCGGGUAGCUAUGUGCGGAAGAGAUAACCGCUGAAAGCAUCUAAGCGGGAAACUUGCCCCAAGAUGAGACCUCCCGGACCGUAAGGUCCCUGAAGGAUCGCGGAAGACCACCGCGUUGAUAGGUCGGGUGUGGAAGCGUGGCAACACGUUGAGCUAACCGAUACUAAUGGUCCGUGUGGCUUGAUCCU
rnacentral:rRNA from 1 species